UACGUAGGGGGCGAGCGUUGUCCGGAUUUAUUGGGCGUAAAGAGCUCGUAGGCGGUUUGGUAAGUCGGGUGUGAAAUCUCCACGCUCAACGUGGAGGGGCCACUCGAUACUGCCAUGACUCGAGUCCGGUAGGAGGAGUGUGGAAUUCCCGGUGUAGCGGUGAAAUGCGUAGAGAUCGGGAGGAACACCAGUGGCGAAGGCGGCCUUCUGGACC
rnacentral:rRNA from 1 species